rnacentral:tRNA from 1 species
UAGCCUAGUGGUUAGGGCCAUGGAUCGCCAAUCCGGAGACGGCGGGUUCGAUUCCCGU